UUAGAGUUUCCUUCUGGCUCAGGAUGAACGCUAGCGGCAGGCUUAACACAUGCAAGUCGAGGGGCAGCGGGUGUAGCAAUACAUGCCGGCGACCGGCGCAAGGGUGCGUAACGCGUGAGCAAUCUGCCCGUAUCAGGGGGAUAAGCGAUGGAAACGUCGUCUAAUACCGCAUAACACCAAUGAUGGCAUCAUCGAUGGUUGAAAGCUUCGGUGGAUACGGAUGAGCUCGCGAGACAUUAGUUAGUUGGCGGGGUAACGGCCCACCAAGACCGCGAUGUCUAGGGGAACUGAGAGGUUGGUCCCCCACACUGGAACUGAGACACGGUCCAGACUCCUACGGGAGGCAGCAGUGAGGAAUAUUGGACAAUGGCCGGAAGGCUGAUCCAGCCAUGCCGCGUGAAGGAAUAAGGUCCUAUGGAUUGUAAACUUCUUUUGUACGAGAGCAAUAAGUGUCACGAGUGACACGAUGAGAGUAUCGUACGAAUAAGCAUCGGCUAACUCCGUGCCAGCAGCCGCGGUAAUACGGAGGAUGCGAGCGUUAUCCGGAUUUAUUGGGUUUAAAGGGUGCGUAGGCGGGAUUUUAAGUCAGCGGUGAAACGCAAGGGCUCAACCCUUGACCUGCCGUUGAAACUGGAGUUCUUGAGUGCGGAUGCUGUGGGAGGAAUGUGUGGUGUAGCGGUGAAAUGCAUAGAUAUCACACAGAACACCGAUUGCGAAGGCAUCUCACAAAUCCGUGAUUGACGCUGAGGCACGAAAGUGUGGGGAUCAAACAGGAUUAGAUACCCUGGUAGUCCACACUGUAAACGAUGAUAACUCGCUGUCGGCGAUACACAGUCGGUGGCCAAGCGAAAGCGAUAAGUUAUCCACCUGGGGAGUACGACCGCAAGGUUGAAACUCAAAGGAAUUGACGGGGGCCCGCACAAGCGGAGGAACAUGUGGUUUAAUUCGAUGAUACGCGAGGAACCUUACCCGGGCUUGAAUUGCAGGUUUUGGAUCAGAGAUGGUCUUUUCCCUUCGGGGUGCCUGUGAAGGUGCUGCAUGGUUGUCGUCAGCCCGUGCCGUGAGGUGUCGGCUUAAGUGCCAUAACGAGCGCAACCCCUUUCGUCAGUUGCCAUCAGGUGAUGCUGGGCACUCUGGCGACACUGCCACCGCAAGGUGUGAGAAAGGUGGGGAUGACGUCAAAUCAGCACGGCCCUUACGUCCGGGGCUACACACGUGUUACAAUGGGUGGUACAGAGAGUCGGUGCAUCGCAAGUUGCAUCUAAUCAUGAAAGCCAUCCUCAGUUCGGAUUGGGGUCUGCAACCCGACCCCAUGAAGCUGGAUUCGCUAGUAAUCGCGCAUCAGCCAUGGCGCGGUGAAUACGUUCACCGGGCCCUUGUACUCACCGCCCGUCA
rnacentral:rRNA from 1 species